UUGAUUGUCCAUCACCAACCUUUAAUUUUUUUAGGUCAAAAUCGUAUUUCUGAACUUUUGAGAAAUAGUCCUCACUCAAAACCAGUCAAUGGCUCAUGAGUGUGGAGAUGAGAAUGAUAAAGUAUGAGGAGGUUGAAUCCAUGAGUGAUUCCCUCUGAAAACACGAGUUUUUGGAGUUUGAUUUUGAUGGUUGAAGGUUGAAGACGAAGUCUC
rnacentral:lncRNA from 1 species